rnacentral:rRNA from 1 species
GCAAGUCGAGGGGUAACAGGAGUGCUUGCACUCGCUGACGACCGGCGCACGGGUGCGUAACGCGUAUAGAACCUACCUUUUACAGAGGGAUAGCCUUUAGAAAUGAAGAUUAAUACCUCAUAGUAUUGAGAUUUGGCAUCAAAACUUAAUUAAAGAUUUAUCGGUAAAAGAUGGCUAUGCGUCCUAUUAGUUAGUUGGUAAGGUAACGGCUUACCAAGGCAGCGAUAGGUAGGGGCCCUGAGAGGGGGAUC